rnacentral:rRNA from 1 species
UACGUAGGGUGCAAGCGUUGUCCGGAAUUAUUGGGCGUAAAGAGCUCGUAGGCGGUCUGUCGCGUCUGCUGUGAAAACUCGAGGCUCAACCUCGAGAUGUCGGCGGAAACUGUCUGGCUAGAGUCCGGAAGAGGAGAGCGGAACUCCUGGUGUAGCGGUGGAAUGCGCAGAUAUCAGGAAGAACACCGGUGGCGAAGGCGGCUCUCUGGGCCUUACCUGACGCUGAGGAGCGAAAGUGUGGGGAGCGAACAGG